rnacentral:rRNA from 1 species
CACGUAGGGGGCAAGCGUUGUCCGGAUUUAUUGGGCGUAAAGAGCUCGUAGGCGGUUCGAUAAGUCGGGUGUGAAACCUCCAGGCUCAACCUGGAGACGCCACCCGAUACUGUCGUGACUAGAGUCCAGUAGGGGAGCGUGGAAUUCCUGGUGUAGCGGUGAAAUGCGCAGAUAUCAGGAGGAACACCAAUUGCGAAGGCAGCUCGCUGGGACGUCACUGACGCUGAGACGCGAAAGCGUGGGGAGCAAACAGG